rnacentral:rRNA from 2 species
UACGGAGAGUGCGAACGUUGUUCGGAUUCACUGGGCGUAAAGGGCACGUAGGCGGCUCAGCAAAUCAGUCGUGGAAUCCCGACGCUUACCGUCGGAACGGCGGCUGAAAAUACUGGGCUUGAGGGCGUGAGGGGUCACUGGAACUCCCGGUGAAGCGGUGAAAUGCGUAGAUAUCGGGAGGAACGCCGGAGGCGAAAGCGAGUGACUGGCGCGUUCCUGACGCUGAGGUGCGAAAGCUAGGGGAGCAAACAGG